rnacentral:rRNA from 1 species
AAUAGAUACCCUGGUAGUCCAUGCCGUAAACGUUGGGCACUAGGUGUGGGGCUCGUUCCACGAGUUCCGUGCCGCAGCAAACGCAUUAAGUGCCCCGCCUGGGGAGUACGGCCGCAAGGCUAAAACUCAAAGGAAUUGACGGGGGCCCGCACAAGCGGCGGAGCAUGCUGAUUAAUUCGAUGCAACGCGAAGAACCUUACCAAGGCUUGACAUAUACCGAAAACUCAUGGAGACAUGGGGUCCGCAAGGGCGGUAUACAGGUGGUGCAUGGUUGUCGUCAGCUCGUGUCGUGAGAUGUUGGGUUAAGUCCCGCAACGAGCGCAACCCUCGUCCUAUGUUGUCAGCGCGUUAUGGCGGGGACUCAUAGGAGACUGCCGGGGUCAACUCGGAGGAAGGUGGGGAUGAGGUCAAAUCAUCAUGCCCCUUAUGUCUUGGGCUUCAAGCAUGCUACAAUGGCCGGUACAAAGGGGCUGCGAUACCGGCAAGGUGGAGCGAAUCCCAAAAAGCCGGUCUCAGUUCGGAUUGGGGU